rnacentral:tRNA from 1 species
GGGUCCGUUGGUCAAGUGGAUAAGACGCCCGCCGUCCAGGUGGGAAUCAUUGGUUCGAAUCCAAUACGAAUCUG